rnacentral:rRNA from 1 species
AAGUCGAACGGCGACGGCGCGGGGGCGAACCUACGGCGGGCGAGUAGGCGAACGGGUAGAGGUAAUAUAAUACGGAACGUACCCGAACGAAGUAGGGGGAGUAACGUAAGCGAAAGUUACGCUAAUACCGCAUACGAUCUAAGGAUGAAAGCAGGGGGAGUCUUCGGGACCUUCGUGCUCCUGGAGCGGCCGAUAUCUGAUUAGCUAGUUGGUGAGGUAAAGGACUCACCAAGGCUACGAUCAGUAGCUGGUCUGAGAGGACGACUAGCCACACUGGAACUGAGACACGGUCCAGACCCCUACGGGAGGCAGCAGUGGGGAAUUUUGGACAAUGGGCGAAAGCCUGAUCCAGCAAUGCCGCGUGAGUGAAGAAGGCCUUCGGGUUGUAAAGCUCUUUUGUCAGGGAAGAAACGGUGAGGGCUAAUAUCCUUCGCUAAUGACGGUACCUGAAGAAUAAGCACCGGCUAACUACGUG